GAAACAGUGUGGGCUGAGUUAGUACCUGAGGUGGAGACUCACAGGGAAUACUCAGUGUUGUAGAACAUCAAUCAUUGCAUAUGAUGUGUGCUUUACUCAACACAGUGCUGUAGUAAGUUCCAUGUCUGUCAUCCGUACCAUGCCGAACUGAAGGAUCAUCAGCGCAAGACACUCUGGUAAUAGGAUAUCUGAGAUUUACAAGCCACGAUGGCAGCAUCUGCUUAAGACUGAACAGACUAAUGGAUUUGGAACUUACAGCUUGUGGACAUUGCAGCACAUUUACUGGAGCAUCUGCCAACCCAUGCAAAUAGGUUCAGAGUUUUCUACAAAAAGGUUUAUCCGUCCUCCAUCUGGUAAACCUGUUGAAAAGCACAAGGGUGGUUCAAUAAGUAAAGUAGCAAGACCACUAACGUGUAAAAUGUUCUCUAUUUCAUUCUAAUUUCCCACCAGGCUAGAACACAUAUACAACUGCAUCCCUUCAUGGCCAUUGCACUGUGUUUCAUAUCAGUCAUACUGUCCCAACAUCAGUUGUAAGAUGGUGGGCUGGGGCACAUCAUCAGCUGAAAUUCAUUGCCAGCUUGUCAAUAUGUACGGUGAUUAUGUUGUGGCAUGGAAACAGGCUUGGGUUUGGUGCACUACCUUUGAUAACGGCAACAUAAACGUUCAAGAUCUGGCCAGCCAAGCAGGUCCACCACAGAUGACAAUUUGUGCCACAUUGAAGGUCUGAUUCAGGAGGACAGACGGUUUUGUGUUAGUGAUAUUGCUGUCGAACUGAACAUCUCAGUUGGUACUGUGCACAAAAUUGUUCAUGAGCAAUUGGGGUACAGGAAAAACUUUUCACACUUGGUACCGAAGUAACUCACAGAAGUUCACAAAAACAAUACAAUUGGGUUGUCUCUCGUGCACUUGAUAUGGUACCAUGAGGAGGGAGUGCAGUUUUUGCAGCAGAUGUUACAGACGAUAAAACUUGGGUGCAUCAUGUGACAACGGAGACAAAGCAAGCAACUAUCACAUGGAAACACACAUUAUCCCCCCCCUUCAAAGAAAUUCAGAACUCCAUAAGCAAAGGUCACAGUGACCAUGUUUUGGGACCACAAGGGCAUUCUUCUUGUUGAUUUCCUCACAAAGGUAUGAAUGCUGACUGCUAUUGUUGUGACGCAUUGAGCUGAUUGAGGGUGGCAAUUUGUCUAAAAUGACCUGGGUUGCUGCGAACAGGCAUCAUAUUGCUGCACGUUAAGUCCAGGCAACACUCAGUCAAUUGCAUGCUGUUGUUACUGAGCUAUCACUUGGAGUUACUGGACCAUUCUUCCUAUAGUCCUGAUCUGGCACCAAGUGAUUUCCAUCUCUUUUGACCACUAAAGAAGCACCUGGGUGGAAGCCAAUUCGCAACCUAUGGUAAAGUUCAGCAAGCCGUCAUGUCCUGGCUUCAGGUGCUUGACACUGAUUUCUUCUGGAUAGAUGCAUUGGCGUAUCAUUGGAGCAAAUGCUUAGACAAAUAUGGGGACUACAGUAUAUGGAAAAAUAAUCUGUACAAUGGCCAUACUGUUGAUUAUACGUAUAUGUACGAGAUGAAUGAAUUUGAGAAGAUUGUUACCUUAUUUAUGGUACUACCGUCGUACAUUCUGUCUGAAAAUGACCUUUUUCACUUAUGUACUUGUCCCUGAAUGACAGUAGAUGAACACCCACCACAGAAACUUAUGUGGGGAAUGCCCUUCUCAUCAUGCCGAUUUAUCCUGGAGCUUAGGCACCUGUUUCCUUGGCUUCCUCUUAUUCAUCCUAAAUAAUCCUUAAUUGUCAUGCAAAACCUUGGAACAAGAGUGGCUAUCCUCUGGACCCAAAGGAUGAGGCUGACUAAUGCUUACAAGGUGGACAAAAGGACUGAUCCUUAGGCUGUAGCAG